CAAUAGCGUAUAUUAAAGUUGUUGCGGUAAAAAAGCUCGUAGUUGGAUUUCUACCGAAGAUAGCCGGUCGGGUCUUCGACCUUGUAUCUGGUUUUGUCCUUGGUAUCCUCAUAGGGAACGUUUCUGCGCUUUAUUGCGUGGUGCGGUAUCUAUGACUUUUACUUUGAGGAAAUUAGAGUGUUCACGGCAGGCAAACGCCUUGAAUAUAUUAGCAUGGAAUAAUAACAUAGGAUCUUCGUCCUAUUUUGUUGGUUUCUAGGGCUAAGAUAAUGAUUAGUAGGGAUAAUUGGGGGCAUCUGUAUCAACGCGUCAGAGGUGGAAUUCUUGGAUUGCGUUGCGACAAACUACUGCGAAAGCAUUUGCCAAGGAUGUUUUCAUUGA
rnacentral:rRNA from 1 species